ACGGGAGGCAGCAGUGGGGAAUAUUGGGCAAUGGGCGCAAGCCUGACCCAGCAACGCCGCGUGAAGGAAGAAGGCUUUCGGGUUGUAAACUUCUUUUGUGAGGGACGAGCAGAAGACGGUACCUCAUGAAUAAGCCACGGCUAACUACGUGCCAGCAGCCGCGGUAAUACGUAGGUGGCAAGCGUUGUCCGGAUUUACUGGGUGUAAAGGGCGUGUAGCCGGGUCGGCAAGUCAGAUGUGAAAUCCACGGGCUUAACUCGUGAACUGCAUUUGAAACUGUUGAUCUUGAGUAUCGGAGAGGCAAUCGGAAUUCCUAGUGUAGCGGUGAAAUGCGUAGAUAUUAGGAGGAACACCAGUGGCGAAGGCGGCUUUCUGGAUUGUAACUGACACUGAGGCACGAAAGUGUGGGGAGCAAACAGGAUUAGAUACCCUGGUA
rnacentral:rRNA from 1 species